GAUGAACGCUGGCGACAGGCUUAACACAUGCAAGUCGAGGGACCGGCGCACGGGAGAGUAACACGUAUACAACCUGCCCUUUACUCGGGGAUAGCCUUUCGAAAGAAAGAUUAAUACCCGAUGUAAAGGAUGGGGAUGCGUUCCAUUAGUUUGUUGGUGAGGUAACGGCUCACAAAGCUGUCGAUGGAUAGGGGUUCUGAGAGGAAGGUCCACCACAUUGGAACUGCGACACUGUCCAAACUCCUACGGGAGGCAGCAGUGAGGAAUAUUGGUCAAUGGGCGUUAGCCUGAACCAGCCAAGCAGCGUGAAGGAUGAAGGCUUAUGGGUCGUAAACUUCUUUUAUAUAAGAAUAUGUAUUAUAUGAAUAAGGAUCGGCUAACUCCGUGCCAGCAGCCGCGGUAAUUC
rnacentral:rRNA from 1 species